UACGUAGGGUGCAAGCGUUAAUCGGAAUUACUGGGCGUAAAGCGUGCGCAGGCGGUUGUGCAAGACAGAUGUGAAAUCCCCGGGCUUAACCUGGGAAUGGCAUUUGUGACUGCACGGCUAGAGUGUGUCAGAGGGGGGUAGAAUUCCACGUGUAGCAGUGAAAUGCGUAGAUAUGUGGAGGAAUACCGAUGGCGAAGGCAGCCCCCUGGGAUAACACUGACGCUCAUGCACGAAAGCUAGGGUAGCAAACGGG
rnacentral:rRNA from 1 species